GGGAGAUUGGCGGAAUUGGCAGACGCAUUGGACUUAAAACCCAAUGGGAGCAGUCCCGUAUCGGUUCGAGUCCGAUAUCUCCUACCA
rnacentral:tRNA from 1 species